GGAUGUAGCUCAGUGGCAGAGCACUUGCCUAGCAUGUAAAAAGUCCUGGGUUCAAUUCACCGCGAUACG
rnacentral:tRNA from 1 species